AACAGUGGUGUGCUGCAGGCCAUUGUCAGCCGUUAUUCCGAUGCUCAGUAUGCCAUAGACUUUGACUGUUUUGUGGGUUGUCUCAUUAAACUGGAAAUGCUCUUCAAAAUGUUUAAGACUCUGGAGAGAGCUGACACAGGGAAGAUUGAGCUGGAUAUGCAACAGUGGCUGUGCCUGGCCAUCUUCUGAUCUGGAGACAAGACAAGAGAGAUGAUACCUGCUGGAGGAUUAACAAUACAUGCAUUGAAUUCA